rnacentral:rRNA from 1 species
UAACCUGCCCAAGAGAUCGGGAUAACACCUGGAAACAGAUGCUAAUACCGGAUAAUAACAGAUGAUGCCUAUCAACUGUUUAAAAGAUGGUUCUGCUAUCACUCUUGGAUGGACCUGCGGUGCAUUAGCUAGUUGGUAGGGUAACGGCCUACCAAGGCGAUGAUGCAUAGCCGAGUUGAGAGACUGAUCGGCCACAUUGGGACUGAGACGACGGCCCAAACUCCUACGGGAGGCAGCAGGC